rnacentral:rRNA from 1 species
GAUGAACGCUGGCGGCGUGCCUAAUACAUGCAAGUCGAGCGAACAGACGAGGAUCUUGCUCCUCUGACGUUAGCGGCGGACGGGUGAUUAAUAGGUGGAUAACCGGCCGUGAAGACUGGCAUAACUUCGGGAAACCUGAGAUAGUACAGGAUAAGAUAUUGAACCUGAUGGUUCAAUAGUGAAAGACGGUUUUGCUGUCACUUGUAGAUGGAACCACGCCGGAUUAGCUAGUUGGUAAGGUAACGGCUUACCAAGGCGACGAUGCGUAGCCGACCUGAGAGGAUGAUCGGCCACACUGGAACUGAGACACGGUCCAGACUCCUACGGGAGGCAGCAGUAGGGAAUCUUGGGCAAUGGGCGAAAGCUUGACGGAGCAACGCCGCGUGAGUGAUGAAGGUCUUCGGAUCGUAAAACUCUGUUAUUAGGGAAGAACAAAUGUGUAAGUAAAUCUUCCCGUCUUGACGGUACCUAAUCAGAAAGCCACGGCUAACUACGUG